AACGAACGCUGGCGGCAGGCCUAACACAUGCAAGUCGAGCGCCCUUUCGGGGGAGCGGCGGCCGGGUGAGUACCGCGUGGGAAUAUGCCCUUCUCUACGGAAUAGCCUCGGGAAACUGAGAGUAAUACCGUAUACGCCCUGUGGGGGAAAGAUUUAUCGGGGAAGGAUUAGCCCGCGUUGGAUUAGGUAGUUGGUGGGGUAAUGGCCUACCAAGCCGACGAUCCAUAGCUGGUUUGAGAGGAUGAUCAGCCACACUGGGACUGAGACACGGCCCAGACUCCUACGGGAGGCAGCAGUGGGGAAUCUUAGACAAUGGGGGCAACCCUGAUCUAGCCAUGCCGCGUGAGUGAUGAAGGCCGUAGGGUUGUAAAGCUCUUUCAGCUGGGAAGAUAAUGACGGUACCAGCAGAAGAAGCCCCGGCUAACUCCGUG
rnacentral:rRNA from 1 species